rnacentral:rRNA from 1 species
UGGGGAAUAUUGCACAAUGGGGGGAACCCUGAUGCAGCCAUGCCGCGUGAAUGAAGAAGGCCUUCGGGUUGUAAAGUUCUUUCGGUGACGAGGAAGGUUGAUAGGUUAAUAGCCUAUCAAAUUGACGUUAAUCACAGGAGAAGCACCGGCUAACUCCGUGCCAGCAGCCGCGGUAAUACGGGGGGUGCGAGCGUUAAUCGGAAUAACUGGGCGUAAAGGGCACGCAGGCGGUGACUUAAGUGAGAUGUGAAAGCCCCGAGCUUAACUUGGGAAUUGCAUUUCAUACUGGGUCGCUAGAGUACUUUAGGGAGGGGUAGAAUUCCACGUGUAGCGGUGAAAUGCGUAGAGAUGUGGAGGAAUACCGAAGGCGAAGGCAGCCCCUUGGGAAUGUACUGACGCUCAUGUGCGAAAGCGUGGGGAGCAAACAGGAUUAGAUACCCUGGUAGUCCACGCUGUAAACGAUGUCGAUUUGGGGAUUGGGCUUUGAGCUUGGUGCCCGUAGCUAACGUGAUAAAUCGACCGCCUGGGGAGUACGGCCGCAAGGUUA